AUACGGAGGAUCCGAGCGUUAUCCGGAUUUAUUGGGUUUAAAGGGUGCGUAGGCGGCCUUUUAAGUCAGCGGUGAAAGUCUGUGGCUCAACCAUAGAAUUGCCGUUGAAACUGGGGGGCUUGAGUAUGUUUGAGGCAGGCGGAAUGCGUGGUGUAGCGGUGAAAUGCAUAGAUAUCACGCAGAACCCCGAUUGCGAAGGCCGACUGCAAAGCCAUGACUGACGCUGAUGCACGAAAGCGUGGGGAUCAAACAGGAUUAGAUACCCUGGUAGUCCACGCAGUAAACGAUGAUCACUAGCUGUUAGCGAUACACUGUAAGCGGCACAGCGAAAGCGUUAAGUGAUCCACCUGGGGAGUACGCCGGCAACGGUGAAACUCAAAUGAAUUGGCGGGG
rnacentral:rRNA from 1 species